UUGCCAACACCACCAGGCGCCUGUCAGGUGCGGACUACGAUGCUGGCAGCUCUGUGUAGCAACCUGUGGACUGGUGACCUUCUGUUGACCCGAAAGAUUUGGCAGUAUGUACCUGGAGGGAGGCACCAGAGAGCAUGCUGUUAACAAGGCUGGCAAGGAAGUCCAGCACAGUAGGAGGAGGAAAGGUGUGCAUCUGGGUUGUAUCCUCU